UUUCCGUAGGUGAACCUGCGGAAGGAUCAUUAUUGUAUAACCGAGGCGCGAGGCCUGUCGCUGACCCGAAAGGUCGUGCACGCCCGAGUGCCCUCACACACAUCCAUCUCACCCCUAUGUGCACCACCGCGUGGGUCCCCCUUUGGCUUGUUCGGAGGGGGGCUUACGUUUUCACACAAACUUUGUAUGCAGUGUAGAAUGUAUUUUUUGUUUUUGCGAUCACGCAAUCAAUACAACUUUCAACAACGGAUCUCUUGGCUCUC
rnacentral:misc_RNA from 1 species